GAUCCCCGGCAACGGCGCCAUUUGAUUCGGGGUUCGAUCCCCGGCAACGGCGCCAUUUGAUUCGUGCCCAAUUGGUGUCUCAGCUGAUUCAUGUCCAGCUGGUGCUCCUUGAUUGAGGGAUUAAUCAACAAAAUUUAUAACCUAUUACACCAUAUACUAGGGUAGCAAAGACAAAGCUACUAUAGCAUAGUGGCUCUAGGAUCGU
rnacentral:lncRNA from 1 species